CUCAGGAUGAACGCUAGCUACAGGCUUAACACAUGCAAGUCGAGGGGCAUCAGGAAUCUAGCUUGCUAGGUUGCUGGCGACCGGCGCACGGGUGAAUAACGCGUAUCCAACCUUCCCCUAGUAGGGCAUAGCCCGGCGAAAGUCGGAUUAAUACCCUAUGUUCUUUACGGCAGACAUCUAAUGUAAAGCAAAGAUUUAUCGCUAAGGGAUGGGGAUGCGUCCGAUUAGGUAGUCGGCGGGGUAACGGCCCACCGAGCCUUCGAUCGGUAGGGGUUCUGAGAGGAAGGUCCCCCACAUUGGAACUGAGACACGGUCCAAACUCCUACGGGAGGCAGCAGUGAGGAAUAUUGGUCAAUGGACGUAGGUCUGAGCCAGCCAAAAGUAGCGUGCAGGAUGACGGCCCUAUGGGUUGUAAACUGCUUUUGCCGGGGAAUAAAGUGCGGUACGUGUGCCGUUUUGUAUGUACCCGGAGAAUAAGGACCGGCUAAUUCCGUGCCAGCCGCGGC
rnacentral:rRNA from 1 species